rnacentral:rRNA from 1 species
UACAGAGGCCUCGAGCGUUAGGCGGAAUCACUGGGCUUAAAGCGUGUGUAGGUGGAUGCCUAAGUACCUUGUGAAAUCCCACGGCUUAACCGUGGAACUGCUGGGUAUACUGGGUGUCUUGAGCCACUCAGGGGCUACCGGAACAAGCGGUGGAGCGGUGAAAUGCGUAGAUAUCGCUUGGAACGCCAAUGGUGAAAACAGGUAGCUGGGGGUGUGCUGACACUGAGCCGCGAAAGCGUGGGGAGCGAUCCGG